CGCAAGCCUGACGGAGCAACGCCGCGUGAGGGAUGAAGGCCUUUGGGCUGUAAACCUCUUUUCUCAAGGAAGAAGACCUGACGGUACUUGAGGAAUAAGCCACGGCUAAUUCCGUGCCAGCAGCCGCGGUAAUACGGGAGUGGCAAGCGUUAUCCGGAAUUAUUGGGCGUAAAGCGUCCGCAGGCGGCCGUUUAAGUCUGUUGUUAAAUCGUGGAGCUCAACUCCAUCACGGCAAUGGAAACUGUUCGGCUUGAGUAUGGUAGGGGCAGAGGGAAUUUCCGGUGUAGCGGUGAAAUGCGUAGAUAUCGGGAAGAACACCAGUGGCAAAAGCGCUCUGCUGGGCCAUUACUGACGCUCAUGGACGAAAGCCAGGGGAGCGAAAGGGAUUAGAUACCCCUGUAGUCCUGGCCGUAAACGAUGAACACUAGAUGUUGGGGGAAUCGACCCCUCCGGUGUCGUAGCUAACGCGUUAAGUGUUCCGCCUGGGGAGUACGCACGCAAGUGUGAAACUCAAAGGAAUUGACGGGGGCCCGCACAAGCGGUGGAGUAUGUGGUUUAAUUCGAUGCAACGCGAAGAACCUUACCAAGGCUUGACAUCCUGCGAAUCUCCAAGAAAUUGGAGAGUGCCUUCGGGAACGCAGUGACAGGUGGUGCAUGGCUGUCGUCAGCUCGUGUCGUGAGAUGUUGGGUUAAGUCCCGCAACGAGCGCAACCCACGUUUUUAGUUGCCAGCAUUCAGUUGGGCACUCUAGAAAGACUGCCGGUGACAAACCGGAGGAAGGUGUGGACGACGUCAAGUCAUCAUGCCCCUUACGCCUUGGGCUACACACGUACUACAAUGCUGCGGACAAAGAGUAGCGAUCUUGCAAAAGUUAGCUAAUCCCGUAAACCGUGGCUCAGUUCAGAUCGUAGGCUGCAACUCGCCUACGUGAAGGAGGAAUCGCUAGUAAUCGCAGGUCAGCAUACUGCGGUGAAUACGUUCCCGGGCCUUGUACACACCGCCCGUCACACCAUGGAAGUUGGCCAUGCCCGAAGUCGUUACUCUAACCUUUUGGAAGAGAGCGCCGAAGGCAGGGCUAAUGACUGGGGUGAAGUCGUAACAAGGUAGCCGUAGCGGAAGCUGCGGCUGGAUCACCUCCUAA
rnacentral:rRNA from 1 species